rnacentral:rRNA from 1 species
ACAUCCUGGCGGCGAGUGGCGAACGGGUGAGUAAUACAUCGGAACGUGCCCAAUCGUGGGGGAUAACGCAGCGAAAGCUGUGCUAAUACCGCAUACGAUCUACGGAUGAAAGCAGGGGAUCGCAAGACCUUGCGCGAAUGGAGCGGCCGAUGGCAGAUUAGGUAGUUGGUGAGGUAAAGGCUCACCAAGCCUUCGAUCUGUAGCUGGUCUGAGAGGACGACCAGCCACACUGGGACUGAGACACGGCCCAGACUCCUACGGGAGGCAGCAGUGGGGAAUUUUGGACAAUGGGCGCAAGCCUGAUCCAGCCAUGCCGCGUGCAGGAUGAAGGCCUUCGGGUUGUAAACUGCUUUUGUACGGAACGAAACGGCCUUUUCUAAUAAAGAGGGCUAAUGACGGUACCGUAAGAAUAAGCACCGGCUAACUACGUGCCAGCAGCCGCGGUAAUACGUAGGGUGCAAGCGUUAAUCGGAAUUACUGGGCGUAAAGCGUGCGCAGGCGGUGAUGUAAGACAGUUGUGAAAUCCCCGGGCUCAACCUGGGAACUGCAUCUGUGACUGCAUUGCUGGAGUACGGCAGAGGGGGAUGGAAUUCCGCGUGUAGCAGUGAAAUGCGUAGAUAUGCGGAGGAACACCGAUGGCGAAGGCAAUCCCCUGGGCCUGUACUGACGCUCAUGCACG